UUUGGUGAUGAUGGCGGAGGGGAUCCACGCGUUCCCAUCUCGAACACGACCGUUAAGCCCUCCAGCGCCGAUGGUACUUGGACCGCAGGGUCCUGGGAGAGUAGGACGUUGCCAAGC
rnacentral:rRNA from 1 species